AACCAGACUCCUACGGGAGGCAGCAGUGGGGAAUAUUGCACAAUGGGGGAAACCCUGAUGCAGCGACGCCGCGUGAGCGAUGAAGUAUUUCGGUAUGUAAAGCUCUAUCAGCAGGGAAGAAAAUGACGGUACCUGACUAAGAAGCCCCGGCUAACUACGUGCCAGCAGCCGCGGUAAUACGUAGGGGGCAAGCGUUAUCCGGAUUUACUGGGUGUAAAGGGAGCGUAGACGGUCCUGCAAGCCAGAUGUGAAAGCCCGGGGCUCAACCCCGGGACUGCAUUUGGAACUGUAAGGCUAGAGUGCAGGAGAGGUAAGUGGAAUUCCUAGUGUAGCGGUGAAAUGCGUAGAUAUUAGGAGGAACACCAGUGGCGAAGGCGGCUUACUGGACUGUAACUGACGUUGAGGCUCGAAAGCGUGGGGAGCAGACAGGAUUAGAUACCCCGGUAA
rnacentral:rRNA from 1 species